rnacentral:rRNA from 1 species
CGCGCAAAUUACCCACUCCCAGCACGGGGAGGUGGUGACGAAAAAUACCGAUGCGGGACUCCCAAACGAGGCUCCGUAAUCGGAAUGAGUCAACUAUAAAUCCUUUAACGAGGAUCAAUUGGAGGGCAAGUCUGGUGCCAGCAGCCGCGGUAACUCCAGCUCCAAUAGCGUAUAUUAAAGUUGCUGCAGUUAAAAAGCUCGUAGUUGGAUCUCGGUAUCAUUGUUACCUGCCGGCCUUGCAAGCGUUGGCCUAUCGAUAUAUGGGUGAGCCUGUGUGUCAUAGUGUCAGCUGUUUCGGGUUGGUGUGGCGGCGGUGACACCUUUCAGCCAUGUCUGUGGUGAAAUAUCCACAGGUGUAGGCGAGUGUCAGGCGGUGCCCUGCAACUGUGGGGUUCGUCGGCUUGUCUGCAUGCCUAUGGAUGCCCUUCAAAAGGUGUCUGUGGGCGGAUGGCACGUUUACUUUGAACAAAUUUGAGUGCUCAAACCAGGCCGAUGUUGCCUGAAAAGUUUUGCAUGGGAAUAAUGGAAUAGGACUUCGGUUCUAUUUCGUUUGGUUUUCGGAUCCGA